CGCACAGUAAACGAUGAAUACCAGCUGUUGGCGAUAGACAGUCAGCGGCGUAAGCGAAAGCGUUAAGUAUUCCACCUGGGGAGUACGCCGGCAACGGUGAAACUCAAAGGAAUUGACGGGGGCCCGCACAAGCGGAGGAACAUGUGGUUUAAUUCGAUGAUACGCGAGGAACCUUACCCGGGCUCAAACGACAGGGGAACCGUCGGGAAACCGGCGGGCCGGCAACGGCCGCUGUCGAGGUGC
rnacentral:rRNA from 1 species